GAGGGUGCAAGCGUUAAUCGGAAUUACUGGGCGUAAAGCGCUCGUAGGCUGUUGUGUAAGUCAGAGGUGAAAGCCCACGGCUUAACCGUGGAACGGCCUUUGAUACUGCGUAACUUGAGUCCGGGAGAGGAUGGCGGAAUUCCAGGUGUAGGAGUGAAAUCCGUAGAUAUCUGGAGGAACAUCAGUGGCGAAGGCGGCCAUCUGGACCGGAACUGACGCUGAGGAGCGAAAGCGUGGGGAGCAAA
rnacentral:rRNA from 1 species